rnacentral:rRNA from 1 species
UACACUCCUGCGGGAGGCAGCAGUGGGGAAUAUUGCACAAUGGGCGCAAGCCUGAUGCAGCCAUGCCGCGUGUAUGAAGAAGGCCUUCGGGUUGUAAAGUACUUUCAGCGGGGAGGAAGGCGAUAAGGUUAAUAACCUUGUCGAUUGACGUUACCCGCAGAAGAAGCACCGGCUAACUCCGUGCCAGCAGCCGCGGUAAUACGGAGGGUGUAAGCGUUAAUCGGAAUUACUGGGCGUAAAGCGCACGCAGGCGGUCUGUCAAGUCGGAUGUGAAAUCCCCGGGCUCAACCUGGGAACUGCAUUCGAAACUGGCAGGCUAGAGUCUUGUAGAGGGGGGUAGAAUUCCAGGUGUAGCGGUGAAAUGCGUAGAGAUCUGGAGGAAUACCGGUGGCGAAGGCGGCCCCCUGGACAAAGACUGACGCUCAGGUGCGAAAGCGUGGGGAGCAAACAGGAUUAGAUACCCCGGUAGUCCCA